GCCAGACAUGGUGGCAUGCUGUAGUCUCAGCUACUCAGGAGACUGACACUGAAGGAUCACUUGAGUCCAGGGACACCCAUUGGGCGUCUAUACUAAAUUCAGAAUCAAUAUACUGACCACCGGGGGAGAGGGCCCUACCAUGUUGCCUAAGGAGGAGUCAACCUGCCCAGCUCAGAAAUGACACAGGUCAAAAUUCCCGUGCUGAUCAGUAAUGGGAUUGUGCCUAUGAAUAGCCACUGUACUCCAGCCUGGGCACCAUAGUGAGACCCCCAUCUCUU
rnacentral:SRP_RNA from 1 species